GAAGCCUUCUUGCUGUCGAUGAACUGUCCCUCUGGGAUGGCACUGGCAUUAAGCACCUUGUAUCUGUGGAAAAAGGAAGAGAAGAAGUGCACAUGUCUGAAA